rnacentral:rRNA from 1 species
CUACGUAGGGGGCGAGCGUUGUCCGGAAUGAUUGGGCGUAAAGGGCGCGUAGGCGGCGCGGUAAGUCUGGAGUGAAAGUCCUGUUUUUAAGAUGGGAAUUGCUUUGGAUACUGUCGGGCUUGAGUGCAGGAGAGGUAAGUGUAAUUCCCCGUGUAGAGGUGAAAUGCGUAGAGAUUGGGAGGAACACCAGUGGCGAAGGCGACUUACUGGACUGUAACGGACGCUGAGGCGCGAAAGGGUGGAGAGCAAACAGGAUUAGAUACCCUGGUAGUCCACACUGUAAACGAUGAAUGCUAGGUGUAGGGGGUAUCGACCCCUUCUGUGCCGCAGUCAACACAAUAAGCAUUCCGCCUGGGGAGUACGGCCGCAAGGUUGAAACUCAAAUGAAUUGACGGGG